UGAUGAUGAUGUAGACAGUCCUGAAGAAGAACUUUGAACCUCUCCCAUGCAUGACAUAAAUUCUUAUAGGGAUUUUGUUUAAAGCAUACAAUCUCAUUGCGCAGUCU
rfam:Capsicum annuum cultivar Zunla-1 chromosome 12, whole genome shotgun sequence